CAGAACCGCAAGGGGAGCCGUUAUGGCUGAGAGUGAAUUAUUUCGUUCAGACCCUUUGAACCUGCUUAACGGUAGGGAUGUGGCUUCUGAUGGAA
rnacentral:ncRNA from 1 species